rnacentral:rRNA from 1 species
ACUAACAAGGAUUCCCCUAGUAGCGGCGAGCGAAGCGGGAAGAGCUCAAAUUUAUAAUCUGGCACCUUCGGUGUCCGAGUUGUAAUCUCUAGAAGUGUUUUCCGCGUUGGACCGCACACAAGUCUGUUGGAAUACAGCGGCAUAGUGGUGAAACCCCCGUAUAUGGUGCGGACGCCCAGCGCUUUGUGAUACACUUUCAAUGAGUCGAGUUGUUUGGGAAUGCAGCUCAAAUUGGGUGGUAAAUUCCAUCUAAAGCUAAAUAUUGGCGAGAGACCGAUAGCGAACAAGUACCGUGAGGGAAAGAUGAAAAGCACUUUGGAAAGAGAGUUAACAGUACGUGAAAUUGUUGGAAGGGAAACGCUUGAAGUCAGACUUGCUUGCCGGACUUGUUCGGUUUGCAGGCCAGCAUCAGUUUUCUGGGGUGGAUAAUGGCGGUUUGAAGGUAGCAGCUUCGGCUGUGUUAUAGCUUUCCGCUGGAUACAUCCUGGGGGACUGAGGAACGCAGCGUGCUUUUUGCGAAGGUUUCGACCUUUUCACGCUUAGGAUGCUGGUGGCAUGACUUUAAACGACCCGUCUUGAAACACGGACC